rnacentral:rRNA from 1 species
UACGCAGGGUGCAAACGUUGCUCGGAAUCAUUGGGCGUAAAGCGCACGUAGGCGGCCCCAAAAGUUGGAUGUGAAAUCCCUCGGCUCAACCGAGGACGUGCAUCCAAAACUGUGGGGCUUGAGUACUGAAGAGGAUCGCGGAAUUCCCGGUGUAGAGGUGAAAUUCGUAGAUAUCGGGAGGAACACCAGUGGCGAAGGCGGCGAUCUGGGCAGAUACUGACGCUGAGGUGCGAAAGCGUGGGGAGCAAACAGG